rnacentral:rRNA from 1 species
CCUGCCCUUGAAGUCCAUUUCUAACCGGCCGCUGUAUCUUGACCGGGCCAGGUACCAUAGUCUCUUGUCUCUUAAAUGGGGACCUGUAUGAACGGCUUCACAUUCUUAAACUGUCUCCCUUUCUACCUCAUAAACUUCUAUACAAGUGAAGAAGCGUGUAAAAUUUAGAAAGAACCCUGUACCCUGUCGAGCUUUAGUCAACCUCAAAACAACUUAAACUCUUUAACAAAAGUAGAUUUUUAUAGCUAGACUUUGGUUGGGGCAACCAUGGAGAAAAACAAUCCUCCAGUUCACUACGUAGAAACCUCUUCACCUAAAAAUUUUUUAGAACCACUCAUUCUGGAAAACGGAAAAAGUUACCGCAGGGAUAACAGCGUUAUCUCCUCUAAGAGCUCGUAUUGACGAGGAGGUUUGCGACCUCGAUGUUGGAUGUAGGGUAACCUAAGGGUGCAGCAGCUCUUAAGGGUCGGACUGUUCGUCCGAUAAUUCCCUACAGAUC